UGCAUAAAUCAAGCGUUUAAGGGCGUGUGGCGGAUGCCUUGGCACUGAAAGCCGAAGAAGGACGUGAUAUACUGCGAUAAGUUUCGGGGAGCUGUAUGUAAGUUUUGAUCCGAAAAUUUCCGAAUGGGGAAACCCACCACUUUAUGUGGUACUUUAAAUUGAAUACAUAAGUUUAAAGAGACAACCUGGAGAACUGAAACAUCUAAGUAACCAGAGGAAAAGAAAUCAAUUGAGAUUCCGUUAGUAGUGGCGAGCGAAACCGGAUUAGGCCAGUAGUUUUAAUAAAAAAAUUUGAAUAGUUUGGAAAAGCUAACCAUAGAGGGUGAUAGUCCCGUAUAAGUAAUGUUUAUUAAAAUUCAUGAGUAAAGCGGGACACGUGAAAUCCUGCUCGAAUAUAGGGGGACCACCCUCUAAGCCUAAAUACUCUUCAGUGACCGAUAGUGAACUAGUACCGUGAGGGAAAGGUGAAAAGAACCCCUAUUAGGGGAGUGAAAUAGAACCUGAAACUGCAUGCCUACAAUCAGUCGAAGCUCUUUUUAGAGUGACGGCGUACCUUUUGUAUAAUGGGUCAGUGACUUAAUUUAUUUAGCAAGCUUAAGCCAUCUAGGUGUAGGCGCAGCGAAAGCAAGUCUUAAUAGGGCGAAUAGUUAAAUGAAUUAGACCCGAAAACGAAUGAGCUUACCAUGAGCAGGUUGAAAGCAAGGUAACACUUGCCGGAGGACCGAACCAGUUGACGUUGAAAAGUCUUUGGAUGACUUGUGGUAAGGGGUGAAAGGCCAACCAAAUUCGUAGAUAGCUGGUUUUCCGCGAAAACUAUUUAGGUAGUGCGUUGAGUAAAUAGAUGUUUAGAGGUAGAGCACUAAAUGGGCUAGGGGGAAGAGAUUCUUACCAAACCUAAUAAAACUCCGAAUGCUAAACAUUGUUCCUCAGCAGACAGACUGUGGGUGCUAAGGUCCAUGGUCGAGAGGGAAAGAGCCCAGACCACCAGAUAAGGUCCCAAAAUUAUGAUUAAGUGUGAAAGGAUGUGGAAAUUCCUUAACAGCCGGGAGGUUGGCUUAGAAGCAGCCAUCCUUUAAAGAUAGCGUAACAGCUCACCGGUCUAAUAGAGUUUCUGCGCCGAAGAUGUAACGGGGCUAAAAUCAUAUACCGAAUCUGUGGAUUUACAAUUUUUUCGAAAAUUGUAACUGGUAGCGGAACGUUCUGUAAGCCUGUGAAGGGAUACCUGUGAAGGAUCCUGGAGGUAUCAGAAGUGCGAAUGCUGACAUAAGUAACGAUAAAAGAAGUGAAAAACUUCUUCGCCGAAAAUCCAAGGGUUUCUGCGCAAGGUUAAUCCGCGCAGAGUUAGUCGGCACCUAAGGCGAGGGCGAAAGCCGUAGUCGAUGGAAAUAAGGUUAAUAUUCCUUAACCAGGUGGUAGUGACGGAUCUUGUAAGUUGUAAGUUCUUAAUGGAUUGAACUUGCCGCGAAAAGGUUCCAAGAAAUAGCUCCAUCAUUAGACCGUACCCUAAACCGACACAGGUGGAUUAAUAGAGUAUAUUUAGGCGCUUGAGAGAAUGAUGUUGAAGGAACUCGGCAAAAUGCUUCCGUAACUUCGGAAUAAGGAAGACCUUUUUUUAGGCAACUAAAAAAAGGUGGCACAAGCCAGGGAGAAGCGACUGUUUAUCAAAAACACAGGGCUCUGCUAACACGUAAGUGGAUGUAUAGGGUCUGACGCCUGCCCGGUGCUGGAAGGUUAAUGCGAUGGGUGCAAGCUCAUUUCUGAAGCCCCAGUAAACGGCGGCCGUAACUAUAACGGUCCUAAGGUA
rnacentral:rRNA from 1 species